UACGUAGGUGGCAAGCGUUGUCCGGAUUUACUGGGCGUAAAGGGCGCGUAGGCGCCUUCUAAGUCGAACGUGAAAUCCCUGGGCUCAACCCAGGAACUGCGUCCGAUACUGAAAGGCUUGAAUCCGGGAGAGGGAUGCGGAAUUCCAGGUGUAGCGGUGAAAUGCGCAGAUAUCAGGAGGAACACCGGUGGCGAAGGCGGUUCUCUGGGCAUUACCUGACGCUGGAGGAGCGAAAGCGUGGGGAGCGAACAGG
rnacentral:rRNA from 1 species